rnacentral:tRNA from 1 species
GUGGACGUAGCUCAGCAGGUAGAGCCCCGGGUUGUGGCCUCGGUGGUCGUGGGUUCAAAUCCCAUCGUCCACCCCA